rnacentral:ncRNA from 2 species
AUAAAAUACUUGGGGUACCCGCCAUCGGCGGGUUGAGAUUAAACCCAUUGAACCUGAUCUGGAUAAUACCAGCGAAGGGAAACAAAGUCAAUUAAGA